GAUGAAGAACGCAGCGAAAUGCGAUAAGUAGUGUGAAUUGCAGAAUUCAGUGAAUCAUCGAAUCUUUGAACGCACAUUCCGCCCCUUGGUAUUCCAUGGGGCAUGCCUGUUCGAGCGUCAUUUGUACCUUCAAGCUUUGCUUGGUGUUGGGUGUUUGUCUCGCCUUUGCGUGUAGACUCGCCUUAAAAUAAUUGGCAGCCGGCGUAUUGAUUUCGGAGCGCAGUACAUCUCGCGCUUUGCACUCAUAACGACAGCGUCCAAAAGUACAUUUUACACUCUUGACCUCGGAUCAGGUAGGGAUACCCGCUGAACUUAAGCAUAUCAAUAAGCGGAGGA
rnacentral:misc_RNA from 1 species